GUGGACGCCAGUCUGCAUGGAGCCAACCUUGAAAUACCACCCUUUAAUGUUUGAUGUUCUAACGUGGACCCGUAAUCCGGGUUGCGGACAGUGUCUGGUGGGUAGUUUGACUGGGGCGGUCUCCUCCCAAAGAGUAACGGAGGAGCACGAAGGUUGGCUAAUCCUGGUCGGACAUCAGGAGGUUAGUGCAAUGGCAUAAGCCAGCUUGACUGCGAGCGUGACGGCGCGAGCAGGUGCGAAAGCAGGUCAUAGUGAUCCGGUGGUUCUGAAUGGAAGGGCCAUCGCUCAACGGAUAAAAGGUACUCCGGGGAUAACAGGCUGAUACCGCCCAAGAGUUCAUAUCGACGGCGGUGUUUGGCACCUCGAUGUCGGCUCAUCACAUCCUGGGGCUGAAGUAGGUCCCAAGGGUAUGGCUGUUCGCCAUUUAAAGUGGUACGCGAGCUGGGUUUAGAACGUCGUGAGACAGUUCGGUCCCUAUCUGCCGUGGGCGCUGGAGAAUUGAGGGGGGCUGCUCCUAGUACGAGAGGACCGGAGUGGACGCAUCACUGGUGUU
rnacentral:rRNA from 1 species